GAGGAAUGGUCAGGGUCAUUUCCUAUGAGAGAGGUCUGCUGACAACACAUUCUAUCAGCUUUUUAUUUGAAGGUGCUAAGGAUCAGAGCCAUUAAGUGACCCAGCCAAGAACAAAGUAAAUGAUGGACAACCAAGAGGCAAACACUUAAUGGACAAUAAUGGAGAGAGUACAAAUGCAUUGAGGGCUGAACUCUGCAGUCAAGACUGGUCAUCAUCGAGAAGAUGAAAAUAUGCCUUAUGGUAAGGAUACUGCCAGUCUCAAGAGUGAGGGAAAGGAAGAGGCGGAGUCUUCAGGCCAGAGCGUGUACUGCAUCCAAGAAAUGAGAAAUGAGUUGGCAACUGGGGAACGAGGUCUCUUCCAUCAAGAACGCCAGUUGCCAAAGUAAAAUAAGGAAACUGAUUUUGUUUGUUGAAGACAGAGGAGACAAGAUAAUUCUGAUUUGGGGACUUCUCCCUGUCCAGUGUUUAGCCACUGUUAGCAAGAACUGGAACCUGACUUCCACAGGUAGUCUUCUAAAUGUUUUAAAUGGUCAUCAACCACAGCAAGUGAAGGAUUCCAGCUGAACUCAGGGGUGAACAAUGAGGCUCAGGAAGCACCUUUUCUGGAAUUAUGGAAAACACACAAACAAACCCAGAAGUAGAAGAGAAAUAUUUGAGAAGGUCUAACUCUAUAAAGACUUGUUCUCAGGCUGGUGAAUGCUUCUGACAACAUGUAUUCAAUUGCAUUUCUAAGACUGGAACUCAAACUACAUUAAGUUAAGUCUCAAGAGCCCUUUUAUAUAGUCACACUAUUACGGAGUUUUGAAAUUUUUGAUUCAUCUUGGAGUAUUCUAUUAAGCUUUUUUUCCCAAGAGAAGUACACGUGUAGACUUUUGGGGCAUUUUCAUAUCGGAGAAUGUCUUUGUGGAUGUUCCUGAGUCAUAAUCCUGUCCUUACAAACUCCAUAGCCAUUUCUCUAAUGUGUUUUGCCAAUUGGGGUUGCUGGGGAGACAUCUUAAGUCAGCAUUUUGGGGGUGUAUUUGUAAACAAUUGGUAAUUUCUUCUUGAUCUCUUGUCCAUAUUUUUUCCUCCUCAUUUUU